GACGAACGCUGGCGGCGUGCCUAAUACAUGCAAGUCGAGCGGACUUACAAAGCUUGCUUUUUAAGUUAGCGGCGGACGGGUGAGUAACACGUGGGCAACCUGCCUGUAAGACUGGGAUAACUUCGGGAAACCGGAGCUAAUACCGGAUAAUCCUUUUCUACUCAUGUAGAAACGCUGAAAGACGGUUUACGCUGUCACUUACAGAUGGGCCCGCGGCGCAUUAGCUAGUUGGUGAGGUAACGGCUCACCAAGGCGACGAUGCGUAGCCGACCUGAGAGGGUGAUCGGCCACACUGGGACUGAGACACGGCCCAGACUCCUACGGGAGGCAGCAGUAGGGAAUCUUCCGCAAUGGACGAAAGUCUGACGGAGCAACGCCGCGUGAGUGAUGAAGGUUUUCGGAUCGUAAAACUCUGUUGUUAGGGAAGAACAAGUACGAGAGUAACUGCUCGUACCUUGACGGUACCUAACCAGAAAGCCACGGCUAACUACGUG
rnacentral:rRNA from 1 species